rnacentral:rRNA from 1 species
CCCUUAGAUGUUCUGGGCCGCACGCGCGCUACACUGAUGCAUUCAACAAGCCUAGCCUUGACCGAGAGGUCCGGGUAAUCUUUGAAACUGCAUCGUGAUGGGGCUAGAUUAUUGCAAUUAUUAAUCUUCAACGAGGAAUGCCUAGUAAGCGUGAUUCAUCAAAUCGCGUUGAUUACGUCCCUGCCCUUUGUACACACCGCCCGUCGCUCCUACCUAUUGAAUGUGUUGGUGAGGAGCUCGGAUUGGCAGCAGUUGGUGGUUCGCCACCGGCUAUUGCUGAGAAGUCCUCCAAACCGCCCCAUUUAGAGGAAGGAGAAGUCGUAACA